rnacentral:rRNA from 1 species
CCUACGGGGGGCAGCAGUGGGGAAUCUUCCGCAAUGGACGAAAGUCUGACGGAGCAACGCCGCGUGAGCGAAGAAGGUCUUCGGAUCGUAAAGCUCUGUUGUCGGGGAAGAACAAGUACGGUAGGUAAUAGCCGUGCCUUGACGGUACCCGACGAGAAGGCCACGGCUAACCGCGUGCCAGCAGGCGGGGCAGUACUAGGGGGGCAAGCGUUGUCCGGAAUUCUUGGAGUUAACAGGCUGGCAGGUGGUACUGUAAGUCGUAUGUGAAAUCAUGCGGCUCAACCGCAAGCGGUCAGUGGAAACUGGGGGACUUGAGUGCAGAAGAGGAAAGCGGAAUUCCACGUGUAGCGGUGAAAUGCGUAGAGAUGUGGAGGAACACCAGUGGCGAAGGCGGCUUUCUGGUCUGUAACUGACGCUGAGGCGCGAAAGCGUGGGGAGCAAACAGGAUUAGAUACCCCAGUAGUC